CAGAGUUUUAAGCACGUGACUUUCUUUGUCAUCGGAGCGCUUGUCAGUCAGUAGUAUUUUUACUUUAUUAUCGCUCACGCUCGAAUCUGCUAUAAUGACUGAUAAAGACAUCAUAUCUGAUGGCGCCGCCGGUCACAGAAUAUUUUUUGCCCCGCUGGGAUCCGUGCAUUGGAUGAGAGCAGAGGGAAGAUGCCCUUUAGAUGAAAAUGCAUUUAAGAAAUAAAGCCGUGCUUUAGUUAAACCAUGAAUGGACCACAAGGAAAGGACUUUAAACGAUUCAGAGGAUUGCAAGUCUUUCCACAGACCGAUCUUAAAAGGCAUGAUGGAGCAAGCCAACCAGAAGAAAAUUAAUGGCAUUUUUAUUAAGAAGGGCCGAAAGACUGAAAAAUGUAUGAAGGUGGUGAUGGAAUAAGAAUUUCACGCCUACUGUAUCUACCACAAAUGGUUUUCACACAUCAAAUAUGGCUAAGAAAGAAAGGCCAGAUGAACAGAAGUGUUAAUGCAUCAUUUUAAUAUCAUGCUAGCUAGGUUAUGGUUGUGUAUUUCUUUGUUCUCCUACUAUGUGCCUAACUGGUUUCAUAAUAAACAUUUAAGAAUGCUGCCAUUGUAAAAAGAUAUUUGUCUGCAUGUUAAUGCUUGUACGAAUUUAGUGUUAUUUGUAAUAAAGUGUAUAAAACCUAGAA